rnacentral:rRNA from 1 species
AACGAACGCUGGCGGCGCGUUUUAAGCAUGCAAGUCGAACGGCAGGACUGGUAGCAAUACUGGUCUGAGAGUGGCGAACGGGUGAGUAACACGUAGGUGAUCUGCCUCUGGAUGGGGGAUAGCCCGUGGAAACACGGGGGAAUACCGCAUGAUGCCGCUGGUGUAAAGGCCGGGGGGGAAAGGUGCAAUUGCACCGUCCGGGGCUGAGCCUGCGGUCCAUUAGGAAGUUGGUGAGGUAAGAGCCCACCAAGCCGACGAUGGAUAGCCGGCCUGAGAGGGUGUACGGCCACACUGGAACUGAGACACAGUCCAGACUCCUACGGGAGGCAGCAGCUAAGAAUCUUCCGCAAUGGGGGAAACCCUGACGGAGCGACGCCGCGUGGAUGAUGAAGGCCGUAAGGUUGUAAAAUCCUUUUGUUGGCGAAGAAUAAGGGGGGGAGUGGAAAGCCCCUCUGAUGACGUUAGCCGACGAAUAAGCCCCGGCCAUUUACGUGCCAGCCGCCGCGGUAA